UGGGCAGGAAACUCAAACACACUUUCCCAUCCCAGCUAGACCAGAGUAUGACUUAAUAAUAAGUCCCGCAGCUUGUGAUCAGAGCAAAGACCUCUGAUACGCACGGCGACGAGCUAACUCCUGCUAUCUGUGCUCUCUAUACUGCAGAGCAGAAACUGGGUCCAGUUUUAAACUUGCUGUAAUUGGAACCAUUAACUUCACGAUGAUAACGCGGAGAAAUAGAUUAUUUUUUAUUUGCGUUACUGAAAGGAAAUGGUGUGAAGGCAGCAGGAGCUCAGUGGGACCAGAGAGGCUGAGAAGUUGAACCUAGAGCAGAUUGAGGAGGACUUCGCAGUGCUUAAGACUCACAUGAUGGUAUUCAGACAGGAGCUCACUGACAUUACAGGCAACCGUCUCUUUGACCAAACAGCCUGGCACAAUGAACCCAGCCCUCUGAUAUGCUUCAGCAGCUACAUCACCACAUGCUUCCUCCAUUGCUUGUAUGGACUCAUGGGGAUAGCAUUCAUAUACAUGUACCUUCCAACAUCAACCUUUUAAUGGAGAGCCCACCUUUGGCCUUUUAUUCCUGAAGCCUUGAUUGCUAAUUGCAAAGCAACAGGUGCUUUGCCCAUGUGCGGAGUCAACGGUGUAAUUGGCGUGUUGUAUUUAGUAUCCUGAAUGGUGUCUUUUUUAUGUGAACGCAUGCAUUUCGCAACCAUUCUGUACUAAUAUACAGUAUAACUGCCAUUAUUUUAAUAAGGCAUUGGAAAAUGUUAAUUUCACCGCCCCCCUGUCAAAUACACAAACACAAAAAUGUGACACGGAAUAAAUUUGUUAUAUGAUUUUGUCAUGACAAAUGUCUCUAU